UUCUUCUAGAGGGGUGGGAUUAUGCAAUCUCCUCUGCAGAUACAUGAGCAUUCUGGGGUGCAGUUGGAACAGGCCACCAGAAGGUUCUUGACACCUGACCUUCCCACUUGGUUCUCCUGUGCUCCGGGUUGGUGUCUUACUCACUGAAGAAUUCCCGGCACCUGGAACGGCACUAGAUACACACAGCGUUUCCGAAAACAACAACAACAACAAAAAGAGCAAUUGAUUUGCUGGACGUGAUGGCAUUCCCCUUUAAUUCCAGCAGUCAGAAUCAGAGGCAGGAGGAUUCCACGUUCAAGGCCAGCCAGGAAUACAUACUAGACUCCAGAGUGAGACCUUGUCUUUAAAACAAAGAGUUGUUAAGUAAUUAUCGACCUGAUUAAAUAUUGGUGUUACUCUUGCUGACAUCCCAUUACAUGUUUUUGCUCCCUGCUGUAUUAUGUAUAGUCAUUUACCUUUGUUCUAUCUAUUCCUACUCUAUUUCUGGUCAUCAAUAAAUACCGGACAAAUUUUA